UACGUAGGCAGCGAGCGUUGUUCGGAGUUACUGGGCGUAAAGGGUGUGUAGGCGGUCGUUUAAGUUUGGUGUGAAAUCUCCCGGCUUAACUGGGAGGGUGCGCCGAAUACUGAAUGACUAGAGUGCGGGAGAGGUGAGUGGGAUUCCUGGUGUAGCGGUGAAAUGCGUAGAUAUCAGGAGGAACACCGGCGGUGUAGACGGCUCACUGGACCGUAACUGACGCUGAGACACGAAAGCGUGGGUAGCAAACAGG
rnacentral:rRNA from 1 species